ensembl:lncRNA
UCUCAAACUGAUCUCCCUGUUGGAGCUCAGUCUGGGGGGAGUUAUUUUUUUUCUCCUUAUCUUUCCUCAUGUGGUGCAUUUUCCAUUGUUAUACCUCUCUGACCUGUCUUCCCGAUGUGAUGUUUUGUGUAAUGUAUGUAUGGUCGGAGGGUAAGAUGGCGCCGCCAUUGUGUGCAAUAGGUCGGCAGCCUUAUGAAAUUUCCCCUUGUGGGACUAAUAAAUGUAUAUCAACUCAAUUAUAGAUGUUUUAGUAUACAUUAUUAGUACAGUAGUACAGUAUACAGUAUACUACAAUCCUUCAGAGAUUCAAUAUCUGAAUAAAUACCUUCAUAUGAAAGACAAAGCAUUCAAUCUAAUAACUCAACAUAUUGAAACACAAACAUAUAUUGCUUCUGCAGAUAAAGCUUGGCAGAUUUUAGUAGCAUGAUUCUAUAAACACUAUCUUUAAUUCAGUGUUUUUUGUUGAGCUAGUUUGAUGUUUAGAUAUCAGAUGAUGUACGCUGUGAACAAACAUCAGUGCAAGUUUGAAUAAUUCAGAUUUCCCCUAUGGUGUUUCCUUAUAGAUAUUCAAAAGCAUGUGAAAAUAAAAAAACAAAAAGUGCAGUGCAGCGUCCAGUUGUAUCACAUUGCAAAAAAAAAAAAGAAAGAAAGAAAAAAAAAAGACUUUUUCUGUGAACACAGUUUUUCCAUGUUUUUCAUGGUUGCAGUCCCUGACAUCUUAUUUGUGCCUUCUGGUGUUGGUAAAGAUGAAAAAUAAAGAGAGGCAAGGAAAAGGCUUCAUAUUAUUACUAUGUGCAGUAUCAGACUCCGCUGUAAUAAUUCUAUCUCGAAUGUUUCUUUGAAGAAAAAUUGAAGCCUUGACAAAACUCUAAUGAGAAUCUGAAUCAUAACUGAAUCAUUUAAUUGAAACAUACAUGAACAAACUCGUGAAAUGAUCUUAAAGUCCACACCUCCAUAAAAGAGAUGACUUGUGCAGGUUUUGUGAGACUUCCACACAAGGUUGCCAGAUAUGCAGAGUGGAGAAAGAAGGCUGUAUCUUUAUUUAGCCGGGCCAUUAUGGAAAGGUCACAAAGUUCAUUUUGAAACACAGAUACAUACCCGUACACAUGCACACACACGUUUCAGCAACCCAAACCCGCGCACACACAUCAUACCAAAGGAGAAACAAAGGCAAGCCUAAAAUAGAGAAACAGAUGACUAACACUUAACUGUACACACAGAUACUGGACGCACACUCAC